UAGUGAUCAGAAGUGAGAAUGUUGACAUGAGUAGCUACAAACAGGGUGAGAGACCCUGUCGCCGAAAGUCCAAGGGUUCCUGCUUAAAGCUAAUCUGAGCAGGGUAAGCCGGCCCCUAAGGCGAGGCCGAAAGGCGUAGUCGAUGGGAACCAGGUUAAUAUUCCUGGGCCAGGAGAUGGUGACGGAUCGCAGAGGUAGUUCUUCCUUAUCGGAUUGGAAGGGCUGCUGAGUGGUUCCUGGAAAUAGCCCUCCACAAGACCGUACCCUAAACCGACACAGGUGGACUGGUAGAGAAUACCAAGGCGCUUGAGAGAACCACAUUUAAGGAACUCGGCAAAAUACCUCCGUAAGUUCGCGAGAAGGAGGCCCCGUUUGUACGCAAGUAUGGGCGGGGGGCACAAACCAGGGGGUGGCGACUGUUUACUAAAAACACAGGGCUCUGCGAAGCCGUAAGGCGACGUAUAGGGUCUGACGCCUGCCCGGUGCCGGAAGGUUAAAAGGAGAUGUGCAAGCAUUGAAUUGAAGCCCCGGUAAACGGCGGCCGUAACAAUAACGGUCCUAAGGUAGCGAAAUUCCUUGUCGGGUAAGUUCCGACCUGCACGAAUGGCGUAACGACUUCCCCGCUGUCUCAAAUGUGGACUCAGCGAAAUUGAAUUGUCUGUGAAGAUGCAGACUUCCCGCGGUUAGACGGAAAGACCCCAUGCACCUUUACUAUAGCUUCGCACUGGCAUCAGGAUUGUGAUGUGCAGGAUAGGUGGUAGGCAUUGAAAUCGGGACGCCAGUUCCGGUGGAGCCAUCCUUGAGAUACCACCCUUCGCACUCUUGAUGUCUAACCGCGGCCCGUUAUCCGGGUCCGGGACCCUGCGUGGUGGGUAGUUUGACUGGGGCGGUCGCCUCCCAAAAAGUAACGGAGGCGCGCGAAGGUUGGCUCAGAGCGGUCGGAAAUCGCUCGUUGAGUGCAAUGGCAGAAGCCAGCCUGACUGCAAGACUGACAAGUCGAGCAGAGACGAAAGUCGGCCAUAGUGAUCCGGUGGUCCCGAGUGGAAGGGCCAUCGCUCAACGGAUAAAAGGUACGCUGGGGAUAACAGGCUGAUGAUGCCCAAGAGUCCAUAUCGACGGCAUCGUUUGGCACCUCGAUGUCGGCUCAUCUCAUCCUGGGGCUGGAGCAGGUCCCAAGGGUACGGCUGUUCGCCGUUUAAAGAGGUACGUGAGCUGGGUUUAGAACGUCGUGAGACAGUUCGGUCCCUAUCUGCCGUGGGUGUAGGAUACUUGAGAGGAGUUGCCCCUAGUACGAGAGGACCGGGGUGAACGUUCCACUGGUGGACCAGUUGUCGUGCCAACGGCAGUGCUGGGUAGCUAUGAACGGACAGGAUAAACGCUGAAGGCAUCUAAGCGUGAAGCCCCCCUAAAAACAAGGUAUCCCUUGAGAGCCGUGGAAGACCACCACGUCGAUAGGCCGGAGAUGUAAGUGCAGCAAUGCAUUCAGUUGACCGGUACUAAUGGCUCGA
rnacentral:rRNA from 1 species